rnacentral:rRNA from 1 species
GUGGCGUGCUUAACACAUGCAAGUCGAACGGAAAGGCCCUGCUUUUGUGGGGUGCUCGAGUGGCGAACGGGUGAGUAACACGUGAGUAACCUGCCCUUGACUUUGGGAUAACUUCAGGAAACUGGGGCUAAUACCGGAUAGGAGCUCCUGCUGCAUGGUGGGGGUUGGAAAGUUUCGGCGGUUGGGGAUGGACUCGCGGCUUAUCAGCUUGUUGGUGGGGUAGUGGCUUACCAAGGCUUUGACGGGUAGCCGGCCUGAGAGGGUAACCGGCCACAUUGGGACUGAGAUACGGCCCAGACUCCUACGGGAGGCAGCAGUGGGGAAUAUUGCACAAUGGGCGGAAGCCUGAUGCAGCAACGCCGCGUGCGGGAUGACGGCCUUCGGGUUGUAAACCGCUUUCGCCUGUGACGAAGCGUGAGUGACGGUAAUGGGUAAAGAAGCACCGGCUAACUACGUGCCAGCAGCCGCGGUGAUACGUAGGGUGCGAGCGUUGUCCGGAUUUAUUGGGCGUAAAGGGCUCGUAGGUGGUUGAUCGCGUCGGAAGUGUAAUCUUGGGGCUUAACCCUGAGCGUGCUUUCGAUACGGGUUGACUUGAGGAAGGUAGGGGAGAAUGGAAUUCCUGGUGGAGCGGUGGAAUGCGCAGAUAUCAGGAGGAACACCAGUGGCGAAGGCGGUUCUCUGGGCCUUUCCUGACGCUGAGGAGCGAAAGCGUGGGGAGCGAACAGGCUUAGAUACCCUGGUAGUCCACGCUGUAAACGGUGGGUACUAGGUGUGGGGUCCAUUCCACGGGUUCCGUGCCGUAGCUAACGCUUUAAGUACCCCGCCUGGGGAGUACGGCCGCAAGGCUAAAACUCAAAGGAAUUGACGGGGCCCCGCACAAGCGGCGGAGCAUGCGGAUUAAUUCGAUGCAACGCGUAGAACCUUACCUGGGUUUGACAUGGAUCGGGAGUGCUCAGAGAUGGGUGUGCCUCUUUUGGGGUCGGUUCACAGGUGGUGCAUGGCUGUCGUCAGCUCGUGUCGUGAGAUGUUGGGUUAAGUCCCGCAACGAGCGCAACCCUUGUUCACUGUUGCCAGCACGUUAUGGUGGGGACUCAGUGGAGACCGCCGGGGUCAACUCGGAGGAAGGUGGGGAUGACGUCAAGUCAUCAUGCCCCUUAUGUCCAGGGCUUCACGCAUGCUACAAUGGCUGGUACAGAGAGUGGCGAGCCUGUGAGGGUGAGCGAAUCUCGGAAAGCCGGUCUCAGUUCGGAUUGGGGUCUGCAACUCGACCUCAUGAAGUCGGAGUCGCUAGUAAUCGCAGAUCAGCAACGCUGCGGUGAAUACGUUCCCGGGGCUUGUACACACCGCCCGUCAAGUCAUGAAAGUUGGUAACACCCGAAGCCGGUGGCCUAACCGUUGUGGGGGAGCCGUCGAAGGUGGGACUGGUGAUUAGGAC